ACCCUUUUGACCUCAAUAUGAACCAAUUUGAUAGCAGGGCCCACAAAUAAAAAAUCUAAAUCCAUGGUAAGAUUCAGCAUAUCAAAGAACCCCAUAUAUUCAAUUUUUGUUGAAAUCAAACAAAGUUUAAUUUUCGAC